AUCACCAAACUGUUUUGAAAGAUAAAAGUACUUCCUGAAUAUGUGGAUGGUGAGCCACGUGAAUGGAAGACAUGGAGAUAUGGACUGUUAACACCUUGUCAAACAUUUAUUGUCCCUUCCACCUCUAAACUUCUGUGAUAAUAGGUGAACAGGACCCACGUGGUGCAGAAUACUGCGAUACACACUGCGGAAUAAUUCAGUGCAGAACAACACGUGGAUUGCUCAGUACAACUUGUUCAUCACAUCCUCCUGUUCACUGAAGAAUUAUGGAAAUAUUCUCUGAGCUGCUUUCCUCCCUGCCCAACGAGUCAUCUCUGUGUGAAAGGCCAAGCUUAUAAAUCCUGGGACUGGGAGUUGGAGAGGGGAGACUGGAGAGAGUAGGAAGAAGAAAGAGACAUUAUACAAAUGCAAGCUGUUGUCACAACAAUGAUAAGAAAUCAGGAGUCGAAAGAUGUGGAGUAAGGGGGAAUUUCAGAGAAACCACAAAACACAAAAUAGGAAACAGAGACAGGAGAAGAUUGCUAUGACAAAAUUGCAGAAGGUGAAAUCUUUGGCAGCCUCUUAUUUCUCUGGAGAAUAUGAUAUUGUCAGGCUGAGGUGGAAGAAUCACAUGGUCAUACUGUUGAAGAGGUCUUGAAACAUUGGGCUUUCCUCUACAAGCGGAAGGAUAGCACUGGCAGCCAUCCACUGGCCCAGCAAUAUCCUGGAUUGAGACGAUAUCAUUUGCAUUACUUGCUGAAUGAAACAUAGUGAAAAUGACUGCAGAUAACCUCAACUAAGUCCAAGAUAUCAUUUUCAAAUCUGGACCAGCCCUUGCCAUCUAGACUGAACAGAGAUUCCAGUUUCCAGGAGAGUAGAUGGAGUAAUGAUAAAAGCACCUCCCAAAACUUUUGCCUUGCUCCAUCAAAACUUAUAAAAUCUUGGGAAGAGGAACUGUGGCCCAUCACUGAUCAUUUCAUCUAUUAAGUGACCACUUAUUGUCUUAUAAUAGGAGAUGUUCUGGAAACAUGCAUUGAAUCGAAGUGGCUUUGAGGAAGCAUGAAGAGAAAACAGGAUGGCAUCCUUUUGGCACCAUUUCUUAUGCUAUAAUAAGGAUUCCUUCUGUUUACACAUAAAACAGAAGAGUUUAAUCACCCCAGCAAUCUUUAACUUGGUAAUGAAGGCCAUAAAUUAAAUUUUAAGCAAAGUUAAAGAAGAUGAGAUGAAAUAUAAAACAAAAACAUCAUCAGAAUCUGCCCAGGAACAAUAUUCUUGACACCAAACCAUGACAUUAUGGGGCUCAGUUGUUUGUUUCUAGGGCAGCCCCUUGUUUUAUGUGCCAAAUAGCAUUUCCCUAAAUAAAACUGCAUGGAACAAAA
rnacentral:lncRNA from 1 species